rnacentral:lncRNA from 1 species
CUACUCUUAACUUCUCCCCUGGCCCUACAUAUUCUGGCCCACUCCUGUCCUGCUCUUAGUUCUACUUCUUGCUCCUACUCUGGACCCUGCUCUUGGCUCUACUCUUAGUUCUACUCCUGGCUCUACUCUUAGUUCUACUCUUGGCCCUACUCUUAGUUCUACUCUUGGCUCUUAGUUCUACUCCUGGCCCUACUCUUGGCUCUUUAGUUCUACUCUGGUUCUACCCUUAUUUCUACACCUGGCUCUAUGUAGUCCUGGCCCCACUCCUGGUCCUGCUCUUAGUUCUACUCUUGGCUCUACUCCUGGCCUGGCUCUUGUGCUUCUACUCUUAGUUUCGACUCUUGCUCUACUCUUAGUUCUACUCCUGGGCCCUACUCUUAGUUCUAGUCCUGGCUCUACUCCUAGCUGUCUACUCUUUGGUUCUACUCUAGUCCUACUCGUUGGCUCUAGUUCUACUCUUGGCUCUACUCUUAGUUCUACUCUUGACUCUACUCUUAGUUCUACUCUUGGCCCUACUCUUGGUUCUACUCCUACUUCUACCCCUGGCCAUACGUAGUCCUGGCCCCACUCCUGCGUUUCCUGCUCUUUAGUGUCUUAUCUUCUUGGCCUACUCCGUGGCCCUGCUCUGGCUCUACUCUUUAGUUUCUGACUCCUGACCUCUACUCUUAGUUCUACUCCUGGCCCUACUCUUAGCUUCUACUUCUGCCCUACUCUUAGUUCUACUUCCUGGCUCACUCCUAGUUCUACUCUUGGGUUCUAUCUAGUCCUACUCUUGGCUCUUAGUUCUACUCUUGGCUCUACUCUUAGUUCUGCUCUUGGCCCUACUCUUGGUUCUACUCCUACUUCUACCCCUGGCCCUACAUAGUUCUGGCCCCCGCAUCUCCUGGGCUGUCCUUGCCUGUCUUAGUUCUACCUCGUGUGGCUCUACCUCCUGGCCCUGCU